GGGGUUAUAGGUCAGUGGCAGGGUAUUCGACUGCAGAUCGAGAGGUCCCCGUUUCAUAUGCGGGUGCUCCCU
rnacentral:tRNA from 1 species